rnacentral:rRNA from 1 species
UACGGAGGAUGCGAGCGUUAUCCGGAUUUAUUGGGUUUAAAGGGUGCGUAGGCGGAUCGUUAAGUCAGUGGUCAAAUUGAGGGGCUCAACCCCUCCCCGCCAUUGAAACUGGCGAUCUUGAGUGGAAGAGAAGUAUGCGGAAUGCGUGGUGUAGCGGUGAAAUGCAUAGAUAUCACGCAGAACCCCGAUUGCGAAGGCAGCAUGCCGGCUUCCUACUGACGCUGAAGCACGAAAGCGUGGGGAUCGAACAGG